rnacentral:lncRNA from 1 species
AUGUCCGCUCUUCGAGUGCUCGGAGGCAAGUUGGCAGCGUGCAAAGCACCCAUCCUUUCCACUGUUCUGGCAUGGCCUUCCACGCGCAAGAAGAUCUUUUUACUCUAGGACUUCUCCCUUGUUCCUCCUUCUCGGCACAGACACGACGGAAGUGUCCUGUGCGCGCGCUGUUCCUGUGCUGCUGUUCUUGUUCUUCGGGUUGUACUUCCUGCGCUUCUAGCAAUCUCGCGCCCGCAACGAAUGACGGCAAGUACAUUGCGCCGUGCGCCAAACGCCAUGUAAGACUCGUAUGCAACCAUCACGUUCCCUUCUGCUGCUGCGCCUGCCUCUCCAGCCUGGCCCAAAUCCGUUCCUGGCAC